GAGAAAUUAAUUUUAUGAAUAGCUAAAGUGGCUGGUUGUGUUUAGGACUAAAUGCCUGUUUGGGAAAUGGGCUAACAAAGGGUGAAGGUGAAGACCAUUAGAGUUUUUAGAGCUGGCUGAGACGGGUUGCUGGGGUUGUGUAACUGUGCCUAGAGGGCGGGGUUCCUGUACAUUCCUACUUCACCAGAUAACCUGCCCCCAACACUACUUCAGCUUCUGCCAGACAGAUGGAACUCUCCAACAUGAAAAUCUGCGCAGCUAUUCCAACAAGCCAGACUGCCUGAGGUUGUCCAAAGGAUGCCGAGGAAAAAGAUUUAAGGACUGGGAGCGCUCUUACCCCAAAAUCGGAUGAAGAUGGAAUCCAUUUCAGUUUGAAAUGUGUGUUUCACAGCUGCAAUUGGACAUUCUUCUGAUUUGUUGUUUCACUGGUUAGAUGGAUGAUCCAUUCUGGCCUAACUCAAGUGUUCUAAUAGAGACUCCCUUGGUCUAAUACGGGACUCCCCAAAACAGUGGGAGGAAAUCUCUUGGAGUUAUUGAAACUUCUUCAUAUGUAUGAGAGGCUUCUCAUUGGCUGGUGCAAUGCAAGUUGAUGGCACGAUUGUUCACUUAGAAUCAAAGGAUAUCUAUUUAUUGGUGUGCUGUUAUCAGUCAGAAGUUUCCAAAUACAAGUUAUCCAAUUCAAAGGAAAGUAUCUGGAUUCAGGCAGAAAGGCGUCUGUGAAUUGCCAAAGUGUGCAUGAUGCUUCAGCAUUCUUUUUUAAUUUUUGUUUCUGGAACACUCCUCUCCUCUGUAUACUCCAACUACUAGAUAGGUUCCUAGGUUCAUCCAGAUCUGUCCCACAUCUGAAUUUUUGGUCAUUUUCCCACACUCUGGCUCCACAAAUAAAGAAAAAAUUAUAAUAAAGGAAUAAAAAUUGUUUGUUUCUGUCUGACUGAAUCAUUCCAGUUUGAAGCACCCUGGUGGGUUAAUUAGCCUUGUUAUUGCAUUUACUAUCUCCCACAGACUUGUUUGUGGAGAAGUCCUCCUCUUGGCACUUGCCUAGUUGGAUGAGAGAACAUUAGGACGGUGGCACUGGACUUCGCUCUUGAAAUGCACGGGAGUGUGGCAGCAUAAAGCUUGAACAAGCUUAGUUUUCAUUCACAGGGUGCAUCUGGCAUAGCAUCAUCUGCCAGCAUUGAUUUAUUCGGGGCCACACCUUCCAGAGCAAAAGUUCUAGCUUAGUAUGGGGAUUGGUACUAUCAUAAAGAAAAACAUGGUGCCUGUUGUAG